GACGAACGCUGGCGGCGUGCUUAAUACAUGCAAGUCGAACGAGAAGCUGACUUCUGUCAGUGGACAGUGGCGGACGGGGGGGUAAUAUGUAGUUAAUCUCCCUUUAACAGGGGGACAACAGAGGGAAACUUCUGCUAAUACCCCAUAUGAGCGUAGCUGAGCUGCUAUUCUUGCACACUCCGGUGGCUAAAGAUGGUCCUGCAACUGAUUAGCUAGUUGGUGGUGUAAUGGACUACCAAGGCGACGAUCAGUAGCUGGUUGGGGAGGAUGAUCAGCCACAACGGGACUGGGACCCCGCCCCUAACUCUACGGGGAGGAGGAGUAGGGAAUUUUGCGACAUGGGCGAAAGGCUGACGCAGCAACGGCGCGGGAACGGAUGAACCCCUCGGGGUGUAAAAUUCCGUUAGUGCGGACGAAACAUGACGGUACCCACAGAGUAAGCACCGGCUAACUCCGUG
rnacentral:rRNA from 1 species